UGGAGAGGCCUUCUCCCGCGAAUUUCUAUUGCCGAAGUUGCAAUUGCAAGAGUCUCCGAUUUCGAAUCCAGAGAUAAUUGGAGGCCUUUGUCAGCGACGGCGAGUUUCCGCCACUCAGAGGAUGAAUUUCUAUUGGGGAGCUGUGGAGGGUUAAUUGAGUUUGCAAAACCCUGUGGAAGUGGAUUUUGUUGGUGAAGUCUUGGAGUCAAUCUAUUCUCUCCAACUAUAGUACGCUCCUUGAGUUUCUUCCUAAAUUUUUUAUUCGUGAAAAUUGAGUUCUUGCUGUAUGGAAAAAUAUUAGAGACAUUAAAAUUUAUUGUUGCUCCUUUUUUAGGUUUUAAAUUCAGGGAAGACAUCAGAAUGGAAAGGAACUGCUUGUCUGUGAUCUACAUGACAUCUAGUAUGAACAGAUACUGAUAUUUUAAUGAACAAUGGCGAUUUACUCCUUGGCUUAAACCUUAUUGCUACUGGUCAUAUUUGGUGAGACUCGAGAGAGGAAACGUGUCUUAAGAAAUUUAAAUGAAAAAAGAUUGCAGAUAAAGAUAUUAUGGGGUAGUUUAAAAGGUGAAAAAAAAUUUGAUCAUCCGCCCUUACUCGUUCCAACUGCAAUUUGACUAAGAAAUGGAGAAGGAUUGAAAGUAGUACAUUAGAAGGAACUUGAAGCUACCUCAAUCUAGGCACUGACUUAAGUAUCAGAAUAUGUUGGGUAGCACCUAUUGGUGUCAGCCUCUGGUUUGCAGGUCGGUCAACCCUUCAACUACGUGUUCUGGUGAUCAAAAUAUCAAGUCCAUAUAUAGAAUAAUUGAUAUUUUCUCUGGCUUGCUAUCAUAACACUCAUCUUUUAGAGCUGAUAGGCCAAAAGGAUGUCUUUUCUAAAUUAUACUGGCAGAAGAUUUAGCAGGCUGAUACCAGUACAAAUUUAUUGAAGGUUUCAGCUUCUGGGUAAGUGUUACCGUCCAAGUCCACCAUUAGCAGAUAUUCUCCUAUUUAGGCGGUUACAAUUGGUGUCAGAUUCAGACACCGGGCGUUGUGACAGCGAGAAUGUUGGGCUCCAAAGGGGUGGAUUAUGAGAUCCCACAUCAGUUGGAGAGUGGAGCAAAUCAUUCUUUAUAAGGGCGUGGAAACCUCUCCCUAGCAGACGUGGUUUAAAAUUUUUGAGGGAAAGUCCGAAAGGGAAAACUCGAAGAGGACAAUACCUGCUACCAGUGGACUUGGGCUUGGGCUUGGGCUGUUACAACCACACUUCCAUUUUAACUAUGUAAUGUCACCAUGAUCAGAAUAGUAGCCAUGUUCGCAAUGUCCUUUGCUGAGGAGGGAGAAAGUAUAGUUCUCGACUCGUAGACAGUUUUCUACAGAGGGCAAAGUUAAAGCAGUGCAACAAUCGGGAGAGAUGCAAGAAAGUUGAAAUUUCAUGGAACUAAUAGAAGACUGAAACUGGUUAUAAAUUUGAUAUUUGUUGUGAAACUGACCAGUUGAUAUGAGUAUGGAAUUUUUCUUUUGAUUCCAUGCGUUUGCUUAAAGCACCUUUUUUUUUAAUGCUAAUAGCAACUGUAAGAACUAAGAAGUUAUCGCCAUCUUGAUUCAUAUUGCAUAUUUUUC